rnacentral:rRNA from 1 species
GAUGAACGCUAGCGGGAGGCCUAACACAUGCAAGCCGAGCGGUAUUGUUUCUUCGGAAAUGAGAGAGCGGCGUACGGGUGCGUAACACGUGUGCAACCUGCCUUUAUCUGGGGGAUAGCCUUUCGAAAGGAAGAUUAAUACUCCAUAAUAUAUUGAACGGCAUCGUUUAAUAUUGAAAGCUCCGGCGGAUAGAGAUGGGCACGCGCAAGAUUAGCUAGUUGGUGAGGUAACGGCACACCAAGGCGAUGAUCUUUAGGGGGCCUGAGAGGGUGAUCCCCCACACUGGUACUGAGACACGGACCAGACUCCUACGGGAGGCAGCAGUGAGGAAUAUUGGUCAAUGGGUGCAAGCCUGAACCAGCCAUCCCGCGUGAAGGACGACUGCCCUAUGGGUUGUAAACUUCUUUUGUAUAGGGAUAAACCUACCCUCGAGAGGGUAGCUGAAGGUACUAUACGAAUAAGCACCGGCUAACUCCGUG